UACAGAGGUCCCAAGCGUUGUUCGGAUUCAUUGGGCGUAAAGGGUGCGUAGGUGGCGCCGUAAGUCGGGUGUGAAAUUUCGGAGCUUAACUCCGAAACUGCAUUCGAUACUGCGGUGCUUGAGGACUGGAGAGGAGACUGGAAUUCAUGGUGUAGCAGUGAAAUGCGUAGAGAUCAUGAGGAAGACCAGUGGCGAAGGCGGGUCUCUGGACAGUUCCUGACGCUGAGGCACGAAGGUCAGGGGAGCAAACGGG
rnacentral:rRNA from 1 species